rnacentral:rRNA from 1 species
UACGUAGGGGGCUAGCGUUGUCCGGAAUCAUUGGGCGUAAAGCGCGUGUAGGCGGUCCGGUAAGUCCGCUGUGAAAGUCGGGGGCUCAACCCUCGGAUGCCGGUGGAUACUGUCGGGCUUGAGUACGGAAGAGGCGAGUGGAAUUCCUGGUGUAGCGGUGAAAUGCGCAGAUAUCGGGAGGAACACCAGUGGCGAAGGCGGGCGACCUGGUC